CCUACGGGAGGCAGCAGUGGGGAAUAUUGGACAAUGGGGGGAACCCUGAUCCAGUGACGCCGCGUGAGUGAAGAAGUAUUUCGGUAUGUAAAGCUCUAUCAGCAGGGAAGAAAGAAAUGACGGUACCUGACUAAGAAGCCCCGGCUAACUACGUGCCAGCAGCCGCGGUAAUACGUAGGGGGCAAGCGUUAUCCGGAUUUACUGGGUGUAAAGGGAGCGUAGAGGGCGAUGGAAGUCUGAAGGGAAAGGCGGGGGCCCAACCCCCGGACUGCUUUGGAAACUGUAUGGCUGGGGUGCGGGAGAGGGAAGUGUAAUUCCUAGGGUAGCGGUGAAAGGGGCAGAUAUUAGGAGGAACACCAGUGGCGAGGCGGCUUACUGGACUGUAACUGACGUUGAGGCGCGAAAGCGUGGGGAGCAAACAGGAUUAGAUACCCCAGUAGUC
rnacentral:rRNA from 1 species